rnacentral:rRNA from 1 species
AAUAGAUACCCCGGUAGUCCACGCCGUAAACGAUGAACACUAGGUGUUGGGGGUUCGAUCCCCUCAGUGCCGCAGCUAACGCGUUAAGUGUUCCGCCUGGGGAGUACGGUCGCAAGAUUAAAACUCAAAGGAAUAGACGGGGACCCACACAAGCGGUGGAGCAUGUUGUUUAAUUCGACAAUAAGCGAGGAAUCUCACCCAGACUUGACAUCCUGAGAAUGUCCUCGAAAGAGGAAGGUGCCUUCGGGAACUCAGUGACAGGCGCUGCAUGGUUGUCGUCAGCUCGUGCCUUGAGGUGUUCGGUUAAGUCCGUGAACGAGCGAAACCCCUAUCCUAAGUUACAUAUUUCUUAGGAGACUGCCUACGUUAAGUAGGAGGAAGGUGGGGAUGAUGUCAAAUCAGCAUGGCCCUUAUGUCUGGGGCUACUAACGUGCUACAAUGGGGUGUACAGAGAGUCGCAACUCCGCGAGGACGAGCUAAUCUCAAAAAGCACUUUUCAGUUCGGAUUGAAGGCUGAAACUCGCCUUCAUGAAGUUGG